rnacentral:rRNA from 1 species
AAAAGGGGAGCAAUCCUCUGAGUAAAGCGGCGCACGGGUGAGUAACACGUGGGUAAUCUGCCCUGAAGUGGGGAAUAACACCGGGAAACCGGUGCUAAUACCGCAUAUGAUCACGGUGUCUGCGGACACAGGGAUGAAAGGAGCAAUUCGCUUCAGGAGGAGCCCGCGGCUGAUUAGCUAGUUGGUGAGGUAAUGGCCCACCAAGGCUACGAUCAGUAUCCGGUCUGAGAGGACGGUCGGACACACUGGAACUGAGACACGGUCCAGACUCCUACGGGAGGCAGCAGUGGGGAAUUUUUCGCAAUGGGGGCAACCCUGACGAAGCAACGCCGCGUGGAUGAUGAAGUAUCUCGGUACGUAAAAUCCUUUCGACAGGGAAGAAACCGCAAGGUUGACGGUACCUGUAGAAGAAGCCCCGGCUAACUCCGUGCCAGCAGCCGCGGUAAUACGGGGGGGGCUAGCGUUGUUCGGAAUUACUGGGCGUAAAGGGCGCGUAGGCGGUCUGCUAAGUUGGGUGUGAAAACUCUGGGCUUAACCCAGAGCCUGCAUUCAAUACUGACAGGCUAGAGUUCUGGAGGGGAUAGCGGAAUUCCUGGUGUAGCGGUGAAAUGCGUAGAUAUCAGGAGGAACACCGGUGGCGAAGGCGGCUAUCUGGACAGAGUCUGACGCUGAGGCGCGAAAGCUAGGGGAGCAAACAGGAUUAGAUACCCUGGUAGUCCUAGCCCCUAAACGAUGGGAUACUUGGUGUAACUGGGAUUGAAUCCCAGUUGUGCCCGAAGCUAACCGCAUUAAGUAU